rnacentral:rRNA from 1 species
CUCGGAUCAGGUAGGAAUACCCGCUGAACUUAAGCAUAUCAAUAAGCGGAGGAAAAGAAACCAACAGGGAUUGCCUCAGUAACGGCGAGUGAAGCGGCAACAGCUCAAAUUUGAAAUCUGGUCCUUGCGGCCCGAGUUGUAAUUUGCAGAGGAUGCUUUUGGCGCGGUGCCUUCCAAGUUCCCUGGAACGGGACGCCUUAGAGGGUGAGAGCCCCGUACGGUUGGACACCAAGCCUUUGUAAAGCUCCUUCGACGAGUCGAGUAGUUUGGGAAUGCUGCUCUAAAUGGGAGGUAUAUUUCUUCUAAAGCUAAAUACCGGCCAGAGACCGAUAGCGCACAAGUAGAGUGAUCGAAAGAUGAAAAGCACUUUGAAAAGAGGGUUAAACAGCACGUGAAAUUGUUAAAAGGGAAGCGCUUGUGACCAGACUUGCGCCCGGUGAAUCACCCAGCUCUCGCGGCUGGGGCACUUUGCCGGCUCAGGCCAGCAUCAGCUUGCCGUCGGGGACAAAAGCUUCGGGAACGUAGCUCUCUUCGGGGAGUGUUAUAGCCCGUUGCACAAUACCCUUCGGCGGGCUGAGGUACGCGCUCCGCAAGGAUGCUGGCAUAAUGGUCAUCAGCGACCCGUCUUGAAACACGGACCAAGGAGUCAACCUUAUGUGCGAGUGUUCGGGUGUCAAACCCCUACGCGUAAUGAAAGUGAACGCAGGUGAGAGCUUCGGCGCAUCAUCGACCGAUCCUGAUGUUCUCGGAUGGAUUUGAGUAAGAGCAUAUAGGGUUGGACCCGAAAGAAGGUGAACUAUGCGUGUAUAGGGUGAAGCCAGAGGAAACUCUGGUGGAGGCUCGCAGCGGUUCUGACGUGCAAAUCGAUCGUCAAAUAUGCGCAUGGGGGCGAAAGACUAAUCGAACCUUCUAGUAGCUGGUUUCCGCCGAAGUUUCCCUCAGGAUAGCAGUGUUGAGCUCAGUUUUAUGAGGUAAAGCGAAUGAUUAGGGACUCGGGGGCGCUAUAUUGCCUUCAUCCAUUCUCAAACUUUAAAUAUGUAAGAAGCCCUUGUUACUUAGUUGAACGUGGGCAUUCGAAUGUAUCAACACUAGUGGGCCAUUUUUGGUAAGCAGAACUGGCGAUGCGGGAUGAACCGAACGCGAGGUUAAGGUGCCAGAGUAGACGCUCAUCAGACACCACAAAAGGUGUUAGUACAUCUUGACAGCAGGACGGUGGCCAUGGAAGUCGGAAUCCGCUAAGGACUGUGUAACAACUCACCUGCCGAAUGUACUAGCCCUGAAAAUGGAUGGCGCUCAAGCGUCUCACCCAUACCUCGCCCUCAGUGUAGAAACGAUGCGCUGAGGAGUAGGCGGACGUGGAGGUCAGUGACGAAGCCUAGGGCGUGAGCCCGGUAGACGC